GAAAAAAAAUAUUGAAGCUGCUAACUUUAAUAAGGGGAUUAAUCUCCUUUUUUCU
rnacentral:tRNA from 1 species